rnacentral:rRNA from 1 species
UACAGAGGUCUCAAGCGUUGUUCGGAUUCAUUGGGCGUAAAGGGUGCGUAGGCGGCGCGGUAAGUCGGGCGUGAAAUCUCGGAGCUUAACUCCGAAACUGCAUUCGAUACUACCGUGCUUGAGGACUGGAGAGGAGACUGGAAUUUACGGUGUAGCGGUGAAAUGCGUAGAUAUCGUAAGGAAGACCAGUGGCGAAGGCGGGUCUCUGGACAGUAACUGACGCUGAGGCGCGAAGGCUAGGGGAGCAAACGGG